GACGAACGCUGGCGGCGUGCCUAAUACAUGCAAGUCGAACGCUUCUUUCCUCCCGAGUGCUUGCACUCAAUUGGAAAGAGGAGUGGCGGACGGGUGAGUAACACGUGGGUAACCUACCCAUCAGAAGGGGAUAACACUUGGAAACAGGUGCUAAUACCGCAUAACAGUUUAUGCCGCAUGGCAUAAGAGUGAAAGGCGCUUUCGGGUGUCGUUGAUGGAUGGACCCGCGGUGCAUUAGCUAGUUGGUGAGGUAACGGCUCACCAAGGCCACGAUGCAUAGCCGACCUGAGAGGGUGAUCGGCCACACUGGGACUGAGACACGGCCCAGGCUCCUACGGGAGGCAGCAGUAGGGAAUCUUCGGCAAUGGACGAAAGUCUGACCGAGCAACGCCGCGUGAGUGAAGAAGGUUUUCGGAUCGUAAAACUCUGUUGUUAGAGAAGAACAAGGACGUUAGUAACUGAACGUCCCCUGACGGUAUCUAACCAGAAAGCCACGGCUAACUACGUG
rnacentral:rRNA from 1 species